rnacentral:lncRNA from 1 species
UCUUUUUUUUUUUUUUUUUCAUUGAUUCUUUGUCCCCUAGAUGUUCUCUCGCUCUCUCCUUUCCCCUCUCCUCCCUCUUCUCUGUCUCUCUCCUCUUCCUCCUUCUCUCCCUGCUCUCUCCCAGGGGAGCAUGCAAGCAAGCACACCACAAAUCACUCACAAUCAACAACAACAAAACCCAAGUUUUCUGAAUUCAAUUCACUGUGCAGUUUGACUUGCAUUCUCCAAAUUUAGUGAUUGGGAGUGUGAGGGAAAGAACUGUGUAAUUCUCUUGGGAGAACCGUCAAAGAGCAUUGGCUCAAUUAAAUAAUGUGGUUUGAUAUGUAUGACCAUAGAGGAGGCAGAGGUAAUUAACACCAAGUUAGAAGAGAGAAACUUCCUACUUAUUAAUUCACUGCAAGCCACCUGGAUUUAAUCAUCUUCUACUUUUCCUUCACUGACUCCCUCAUGAAAUGAAGGAGGGCAGAGGCAGUGGCCAUUUGAAUCAUCGCAGGUUCUGCAAGGUAGGCCUCUAGUGUGGUCUAAUUAUGAACAAAGGUUAGGACAGGCCCUCUGUUCCCACAUGCACAGUUAGGAAUCCUGUGUAUGUUUGGCCUCAUCACAUUGAUGAAGGAGGUGUGUGUUUCCUUAGUCCAUCAAGUUUGCUUUUGUGUUAUUAGCCAUUAACAUCCAUACAAUUCAGGGAUAGGUGAGGUGAGUUUUACAGAGCAGAAAGUUAAUACCUUGGGGAAUUGGACUUUUGUUCAAGGCUUUGUCCAGUUUCAGGGUCCUGUGUCACAACUCUAGUUUCAAGAAGAUAGUGAGUUCUUACCCAUAUGAUGCUCUCUGCCCCCACAGUCUAGUUUUUUCAGAGACACUUUGGUGACAUAUCUGAACUCCCUAUAUUUAUUUCAUAUGCAAUCCACAAAACUGCUUGCUUCAGGAGAGCUUUAGAUGCUAAUAUACUGGGUCAGGGGGACAAGGAGAAAGAGGAUCAGUUACAGUGAGCACAACACACAGUGAUGCCUAGACACUGAGUAAACAUGGACCAGGCAUGUUUCUCCUAUUUCAUGUCUGAACACCAGUUGCUGAGCAAAUUGGGGUAGGAGGGCAGUUUAUAGAAGUGCACCAUGGGGGUUGAAGAUUAAGAGCACCUAGGAACUUUCAGAGGACCUGGGUUUGAUUCCCAGCACCCAAGUGACAGCUUACAACUGUCUGAAACUCCAGUUCUAGGGGACAUGAAGCCUUCUUCUGGCCACCAUGGGCACUAGGCAUGCAAGUGGUACACAGACAUGCUGACAAAACACUCAUACAGCUAAAAACAAAAAAUAAUAAGAUUUUUAAGUGAACCUGUUCCAGAAAAUAACGUGAACACAGAGAGCUAGCUACAAGCUCUCAGCAUCAGCUACUAGGAACAGUUUCUGGCUAUGUGAUUUAAGGUAAAGAAAGCCAAGGCAGGCUGGUCAUUUCUGCCCUGUAGACUACAUAUUAUUAUUUUCCUGCAUCCAGUCUAUGUUCAGGAAUGUCUAAGUUCACCAUAUCUUUGCCCUACUUGAACCACUGGCCUGGCAUUCAGAUAGCUUUCAAGAUAGUUAAGGUGCUGGUUGGUUUUGUUUUAAGCACUCUCCUGAAUUAUAUUUUUGAUUCUAAUUCUGAUUUUUACAAGCAAAAUAGAGUAUAUAGUUAUUAUUUAAAUUCUUGCAAACAAAGCUAGCCAUGUUAACACAGGCUUGUCAUCCCAGUACUGGGAAAGUGGAAGCAGAGAAUAAGGAGCUCAAAGUCCUCUUCAGCUACAUGGUGAGUUCGGAGCUACCCUUAGCUUUUGAGUGUCUGUCUUAAUGAAAAUGAAAAUAAAGGGCAUUCAAACUGCACAGAUGCUUGUUUUCCUUUGUAUACAGUAACAUCAAUAAAACCAUUGGAACUUGCAAUUUUUAACGAACCAUUUUAACUUAACUCAGUAUACCGAAAAGAAUGGAUUACUUCUCAUUGGGAUUGUGUUACUAACUUGGGGGUGGGAGGAGCCUCUGGCCAGCUGCUGCUGCCUACCAUUCUAAGAGAGCAUCUUAAUCCAUAAAUGCGAAGUAAAGCUUAUAUGGAAUGCACGUCAUUUUUGCAUCAUGGUAAAGUAAAACGAAACAAAACAAAACAAAAAAACAGAUGCACCAUUGUAAGUUUGACAUUGUCUAUAUAAAGAAAACACACAUACUUGUAGGUCAUAAUUUACAGCAUUUAUUCUCAUGAGCACUCUUUCAGUGGUUUGCUGAUUUUUGCGGUCUGUAAUUUCAGUAUAAGCACACAUACACACACAAUUUUUAACAAAUAUAAAAUUAUAGCGUACAUUAUUGUCUUGCAAUUGCUUUUUACACCUAAAAAUGUGUCAAGGUGUGCUCUUAUUUUAGCAUAUGGGACUCCACAUGAUUGUUUUUAUCUGAGGGAUAUUUAGGCUAUCAUUUGUAUGAUAUUCACACUCUUACAUUAGAUUAAACAAUGAAUAUUCUUGAGCAUAUAUCUUGGUAUGCUGUCAUGAAGAUAUCUAUAAACAUCUUCCUCGACUUAGGAUUGCUAGAUAAAAUGAUAUAUACAUUUUUUAAUUUGAUAAAAUCUUACUCACUUCUUAGUCCCAUUAAUGGUAUGCUAUAUGAGAGUGUGCAAUAUUUCCUUAGUUUACGAUUUGACUGGAAUGAAGACACUAACUUUAAUUUACUUAUAUUAUAAAAGUCCCACUUUGGAUAUCUCUCUUCUCUUCUAAAUUAUAGACUUGUAAGUCAUAGAUGUGGUUUGGGUGCUAGGAACUAACACAGAAACACAAACUCAAAAGGGAAAUUUUGAAUGACAUUAGUCUUUGCUGAUGGCACAUCUCAUUUGGUACCACAAGG